rnacentral:lncRNA from 1 species
GGGAGCGGCGGCCGGGGAUUCCUUGCAAUCCCCGAGGGAGAAGGGUUUCUGGGGCUUCAAAGAGACUUGGGGGCAGUUCUUGCUGGCCAAAUCGGCUUGAAUCGGAAGGGGUUCAGGCUGACCAAGAAGCCUUCCAUGAAGCCAGGGGCAGCAGCGAGCGGGUUCUUGGGCUGGUUGGCCCCAAAAGGAAAACCAGAAAUUUCAAGAAAUUACUCCAAGAAAAGAUGGCGGCGGCGGAGGACGAAAACGAGCAGGAGGGAGGCGGUCUGCUUGGAAAAGCCCCACUCCGAGAAGGCGAGGGCGGCGGCGGAGGAGCGCGCAGGGAGGUGGGAGGGGAGGCGGACAGGUGGGAGGGGAGGCGGAGGCGAGGAGGAGGGUGAGGAGGUGGAUGCUUGAAAGGGGAAUCUACUAUGUCUCCCCUCUCCUUUUCGGGUCUCUCUGUAUCGCGUGGUUUUCAUUGGGGGUGAAAUUGAAAAGUGCCAAGGUUUUCUUCGGUCUUGUAACAAAACUUUGAAAGGAACAAAGGUCAAAAACAACAUCUCGAAAAGAAAAAGAAAAAUAAAAAGGUCAAGAACAGCUAUGACAUAGCACGUGUGGGAUGAAUUGUUACACGGUUUCUCCUAAGUUUCAUUUAUGUCAUAUGUUAUGUGUUUUUUUCUGGUCGUGAUCAUAAAAUGCAUCAUACAUCGGGGUUGGUAAUUUGAACAACAAAUAGCAGCACAAGCUCAUAUAUUGGUCUGGUAGGAAUUUAUAGAUGAAC